GAUGAACGCUGGCGGCGUGCUUAACACAUGCAAGUCGAACGAUUAAGACCCCUUCGGGGGUGUAUAGAGUGGCGAACGGGUGAGUAACACGUGGGCAACCUGCCCCUUCCUCUGGGAUAACACGGAGAAAUCCGUGCUAAUACCGGAUACUCCAUAUCUGCGGCAUCGCGGAUAUGGGAAAACUCCGACGGGAAGGGAUGGGCCCGCGGUCCAUUAGCUAGUCGAUGGGGUAACGGCCUACCGAGGCGACGAGGGAGAGCCGGGGUGAGAGACCGGCCGGUAACAUUGGGACUGAGACCCGGCCCAGACCCCUACGGGAGGCAGCAGUGGGGAAUUUUGCGCAAGGGGGGAAACCCUGACGCAGCAACGCCGCGUGCGGGAUGAAGGCCUUCGGGUUGUAAACCGCUUUCAGCAGGGAAGAAUACAGACGGUACCUGCAGAAGAAGCUCCGGCUAACUACGUGCCAGCCGCCGCAGUAAGAC
rnacentral:rRNA from 1 species